rnacentral:lncRNA from 1 species
UAUUUUGUAUACGCGAAACAAAAAGGUCGGUUCUCAAUUCCGCUCCUGCAGUAAUGCCAUCUCGAUUCCUUCCUCUUCCUCUUUCCCUUUUCUUCUGGUAGAUUCCGUGUUCCUCUCCGUUUCUUUGCUUUUGCGUCAAAAAUCGAUAAUUUUGAAGUGUUUCUGUGUUGAUAGAGUUUAAAGAUUUAGGUUUUUGAUUAAAUUUGAUGAGUUGGGUGUUCGUUUGCGAGUGCUCGAGUGUACAGCGCCGAAGUCGUUGAUGAUCGCUGCUCGGAUGACGAACAGUCCAUAGAUUCUACCUCUCCGUUUCUUUGCUUUUGCAUCAAAAAUCGAUAUUUUUAAGUGUNNNNNNNNNNNNNNNNNNNNAUAUUUUUAAGUGUUUCUGUGUUGAUAGGGUUUAAAGAUUUAGGCUUUCGAUUAAAUUUGAUGAGUUGGACGUUAGUUUGUGAAUGUUCGAGUGUACGGCGCUGAAGUCGUUGAUGAUCACUGCUCGGAUGACGAACAGUCCAUAGAUUCUGUGUUCCUCUCCGUUUCUUUGCUUUUGCAUCAAAAAUCGAUAUUUUUAAGUGUUUCUGUGUUGAUAGGGUUUAAAGAUUUAGGUUUUCGAUUAAAUUUGAUGAGUUGGGUGUUCGAUUGUGAAUGCUCGAGUGUACAGCAAUGAAGUCGUUGAUGAUCACUGCUCGGAUUGAAAUUGUUACGGUUUUGCUAACAGGAAACUCAGUGGGUGAAAACAUAUAAAUCUCUGAUUGAAAUCAAUAGAAAGCUAAUUAGACUUGCCUUAGCGCCAGUUUUGAUCACCUUCGUAAGGGCAGCCCCACAUCACCAAAUGUGGUGGUUGGGUGUUUGCAUAAAUGACGGCGUGACGACUGUUUGUGCAUGCAUAACAAUUACGAUAGCCCAACUGUGGCUCAAAUAUUUGUAAUUAGCUCCGAGUACAUACUGUUCUGCAAGUGAUGCUCAAGUCUCUCUCUGUUUAUAUCUAAAUAUUCAAGCUAAUUUGAAAAUGUUGUAUCUUAUAUUGGUAAAAAGAAUGUUUUUUAAUAUGAUUUCGACAUCUUCACCAUGUUAAACAGUUUGAUGGUUGCUUUUCUAUGCUUAUUUGGUAUUGCUAAUGAAGAAUCACGCUGCUGUUUCCUCUCAUGUUGAAGAUAGUGAGUGCAAUGCCAAACCGUCGUAAUUCAUCAACUAUGAUUACUUUCUGUUUCAACAUUUGGUUGACUUAUUACUUUCGUGUGGGCUGUGUGAUGUUUGCAGUGGAGCAUGUUGAUUAUCCUGUUAAGGUUAGUGGCGUUGACCUGUCUCCAAAUCCCCCUACAUUCAAUAUCUCUGCGUCUACUGGUAGAAGAACAUACUUUUCGCUUCACUCAUAUACUUGUUGUUUGUUUGUCAGCAUAUCUAUGACAAUUAUAUCUUUACAUGAAUGAUGGUAAGGUUCUUCAUGGAAAUUGAAAUUACCUAAAAACACAGAGAACACAUGCAUUUGUUAUAUGUUCUUGUAAUGCAUGCUCAUCUUAGCCCGUCCUUUUCGUCUAUGGUGUAUUAUGGCCAAAAUCCAAGACUAAUCUCGAAAUAGGGUGGUUUCAUAAAUGAUGAUUUAACUAACUAUUGGUUGAUUUAAAUGCAAAAAAUAUGUGGCAUAGCUUUUAGAAGGACCAUGUGAAUUAGGAUGUAAGGUCAGAAAUAUCCCUCAAAUGCUGCUAAAAGAACUCUUAACUUAUCAAGAAGUGAAGGUUCUUCCUCCAGAUUCUUAACUACUCUACAAAGCUUUUUCUUAAUAGCACAGAAAGCUUUAAGAAGCAUCAUUCAAUGCAUAAUAAAAUUCUUCAGUAUGACUCAAUAAGUUCUUUCAUAUGCUUAAACUAGAUAAUGCGCAAUUAUAUUUUUGAGUGUUGUUCAGAAACUGGAAACCUGUAUGGAAAAAAAGAGGAUGACAACAAAGCAUGAGGUUAUUUCCUGUUCAGAGUCCAGGGAGCCAAAAAAUUUGUGUCACUUGUUCAUAUGUGUGAACAACAUAUGCAUCUAAAAAAAUUUCCUGUUGAGACUUCUCUUCCCUUUCACACAUAUUUCUAACUUGUUUUCUUUAUUCAGGAUAAGUAGGAUGCACAUUGUAUCAUUUGAAGUAAGGCAAUCAAAAAACAUUCAAAAGGAACUGUAUUAACAAGUGAAGUGAAUGGAAGAUCUCAAGUGGAAGAUACAGAGAAGUAGUCCAGUGUGAAAGGGAAGGAAACGAGGGAAAUAUGUGCCGUGAAUUUGGAAGAGAUUGUUUGAGAUGAAGGUUCAAGAAAGAUGAAGGAUAGGAUAGGAGGCGAUGUUGCACUUAGCCUUAGUUUAAAUCAAUCUCAGUGAGUAAGAAAGCCACAUUUAAUCUUGGGGUAGCGCAUUUUACCACCUGCGGUUCAACCUGAUUUCAACCCUGCAAAAGAUAGUGGUAGUUCCUCUCUAUGUGGAUUGAUCCAAGAGAGGAUCAUAGUAAGAAACAAAUGGUAGAUAUAGAGAUUCAUCAUGUUGACAGCUCAUGCAGCUUAAGACAGUCCAACUUUCGCAAUUGAAAAGGGGGUUUUUUUUUUUGCAGUAUAUUUAGUAAAUUUGUUAAUCAUGCAAAAUACAAGAUCAAAGCAUUAUCUCUAUCAUCUUCUAUCUUGUUUAUAUAACAACUUGAAAUUAUCUUGAUAUUGUAAAGUUCUUUUUACCUCUGUCUCUCUCUCUCUCUCUCUUGAGCUAAUGAAACUUCUGUCUGUAUAAGAACAAAACAAUGUUUUUAGGCAGUUUGUGGAUAUUGCUUGGAUGUUUCACCUCAACUUGUUCUGAUGCUUUCUUUAAUCUGAUUUUAGCUAAUCUUAAUGUUUUGAUAGAAUUAGGUUGCUCAUUUACGAUCUGAAACUACUUAAGUCGAUCAUCCCAGUACUCAUCAUCAGAAUAUUUAGCGCUCUUUUUUACCAUCAUAUAGCAUAAGCUAUCUACUUAUGUUUUUGUAUUUUGUACAUUUGGAAUCUAGAAUCUGUGAGGUUUUAUCUCCGUCUCAGGGAUCAUACACACUUACAAUGAAGCGGAUCGGAGACAAAUCAGAACGACUGACAUGCAUUAUUUUCUAUUUCGGCAUCUGAAUGCUGCGAGAUAUGCUAUCUUCCGCAAUAUGAGCUGACACAUCAUGCUCUACUUGUUCCUCCUUUGUGAAAUCGACAUUGUAAGUAAGAAAGAUGUUAUCCGAAUGUUUAACUUAUGUAUAUCUGUGCUUUGUGAAAUCACAUCAUAAAACUUCGUUUCCAAAAUGUUUAAUGCAUCAAGUUCAUUGUUGUUUAUGGUGUACUCUCUGUUGACUAAUCGAUGAGACUCAGCUAGUUUGACUUCCUGCCAAAGAUCAGCAGCAUGACUCCUUUACUUUGACUCCAUGACGACGACCGUCUCCGGUGCUUCACGGCCGUUCCCUAUAUUCGUGACUUAAGUCGUCUCGUACGGGUUGGAUCCGACCACAGCAUCGACCCG